GCCAGGUGUGGUGGCGCACACCUGUAAACCCAGCAGCUCGGGAGGCUGGAGAUAGGGGGAUUGCGGAGUUCAAAGCCAGCUUCCACAAAAGUGAGGUUCUAAGCAACUGAGUGAGACCCUGUCUCUA
rnacentral:sRNA from 1 species